AGUUUUAUGACAUUCUUGUUUCUCUGUUUCAGAAUACUGUUUCACGAGCACUCUUUACUGCAUUUUGAGACUGACAGAUCUGAGCACAACCUGCAUUCAUCGCUGCACUUUUCUCCUUGGUUCCUUCUGUUUUGACUUUU